AUUUUUCUUCAAUUGUGAGUGAAGCAAAGAACAUUAUGGUUUUAUAAAGAUGUUUUUUUUUUUUUAUUUUUUUUUUUUUGUUCUGUGAACAACUUUUCUGCCAGAGAUCUCACUUUAAUUUUUAUGUGUUAUACCUUUUCAAAAAGAAAAUCAGUAUAAGAUCGUACUAUGAGGAGGUCAUUUUUCGAUUUUCUCAAGAGUUUUUCCAGCAAAUGUGAAAAACCGGGAAAAUACAUAGAAAAACCAGAAAAUCGGUACAAUAUUAAACUAAUAUUAUUAAAGAAAU